GGUGUGGGGGGCUCAGCGCGCCCUGGGAAGGAUUUCUGUUGGUUUGAAAUACAGCUCCUUAACAAGUAACUUAUGUUAAUUUGAAAUAUAGUGGUCAAAAAGUUGUUUCACGGCGUUGAACGAAGUGUUUUGCUUUAGUUUCUAGCAGUGUGGGCCUUCUGCUACUGUAUGUCAGUCACAGGAGCCAGAAUUGAGGUCCUGGGCAAGAAGAGCCAGUGGGAGAAGCAAACCAGGAUUCUUCAGCCAUCAGAAAUACUGUGCAGAUCCCGAAUAACGAGCCUUUUGUACAGCCACAGGUUGCAUCAGCUGUGCGGUGCCCGAAAAUGAAGCGGGCUGGUGGGCAGCUUCCCGAGCUGGCAGUGUGACUCAUUGUGUUUGUGCAUCGUGGAUGUCGGAGCAGACAAGAAUUACAAUGGGAAGCGGGUUGUAGGCAGGAGUGAGUCAAAAAUGAGCCUCCCUCCCCUGAUCUAAACACGCAGGGACAGUUCAAAACUUGUCUCAGCUAGAAGUUGCCCUGCUGCAGGAAUUCUUGUUUUGAAUGAAAGAAGCAUUUAUUUAAUUUAGGGGAGGGAUGAUUACUUAAAGCAAUAUAUAAAAAUAUAUUUGAUCCUCUGACUAACUUCACAGUUACUCUAAUGUUGUCUUGCAAGGCUUAGGCCUAAGUCCUUUCUAUCAUCAUUUUAAAGCUAGUUUAAUAUUCAUGGAUCAUAAGAAUGGAUUUGGAGGAUUAAAUGUGCUAUCAGGUUCUGCCUGCAAAACUAGCUGGCUGACAUGUUUUGACAGAAAAAGACCCUGUCUAUACACAGCAUCUCUUUUAUAUUGUUAUAUCUAGAAAAAAUUGUAUUCCAGUUCUGUACCAUGACAAACGUAGAAUUCACAGUACCUGGUAUCUAUGCAGCGGAAAUCUGUGUUGUUUAAUAUACAUUCAGCCUGGGUGCUAUGGAUCUUUUCCAAGCUUGAAGGUAGUUAUGAGCCUGAACAGCUCUUAAGUGAAGAAGCACAUUGGCAAGAGAGACAGAGAUUUCAGGAAGGACAUCAAGCAAAGUGAAGGCAGGAAGCCAAGACCUAAAAGAUAGUAUUAAAUAAAGGAAGAUAGAUAUUUUCUGUGAGCUGAACUCUCUACUCUUGGCAAUGAUUUACGUAAAGGAUAAUUUUUUUCUCCACAUCAAGCAGGAAAGAAUAGGGAAGAAAAUCCACAUGUUGAAACUUAUUUCAACACACAGAGCAGGUAAGUAUAAUUCAUAAGGGAGCACUAACUGUGAACUUAAUUGAACUCUGUCUUAUUUGGGGCCAAGUAAGACAUUCAGGAUUUGCUACAUUUUUUUUUUCUGAAUAAAUUGCACUAUAGGUUUAUUUGAAA